GAUGAAGAACGUAGCGAAAUGCGAUAAGUAAUGUGAAUUGCAGAAUUCAGUGAAUCAUCGAAUCUUUGAACGCACAUUGCGCCCGGCAGUACUCUGCCGGGCAUGCCUGUUCGAGCGUCAUUUCAACCCUCAAGCCCUGCUUGGUGUUGGGGUCCCACGGCCGCCGUGGGCCCUGAAAGGAAGUGGCGGGCUCGCUACAACUCCGAGCGUAGUAAUUCAUUAUCUCGCUUAGGGCGUUGGGCGGCGCUCCUGCCGUUAAAGAACCAUCUUUAACUCAAGGUUGACCUCGGAUCAGGUAGGAAUACCUGCUGAACUUAAGCAUAUCAAUAAGCGGAGGA
rnacentral:misc_RNA from 1 species